CCAAUGCAUUAGGGGGCUAUACUCAUUUAUUACAAUUCAUCAAGCGUGCAAAUUAUGUUUAGGGUUACAUCCAUCGCCCUUUCACAUUCAUCCUCUAUAUUAAUUCCCCCAUUCCAUCCCCCUUUCAAUCAGUCCAUCCCUCUUUCAAUUUCCAUAGCCCUUCCUCAUCAAUAUUCCAACUGUUCCUCAGGUUUCUAUUGCAGAAAAAUGUCUCGCAGAACCGAUUUCAAUUUUCAUUUGUCUAUUUUAGUGUUCUUCAUAAUAGAUGUUCUUCGUCAGCUAAAUUAAUCAACCGUUUUUAUUUUUUUUAAUGUUUUUAUUGUUUUUUUUCUUCAGAUUUUGUGAUGUUGAUGGUGGUGAUUUUUUCCUAUGGAUAUCAUUUUUUCUCAAGAGUUUGGCGUUUCUGUUUCAGAAAAUCUUUUUCAUAUUCUACUGUUUUAUUUCAAUUUUGUUUAUGAGUUUUCACAUUUGAUUUUAUUUGAAUACAGUAUAUUGAAAUUUUAUCUUUUUUUUUUUCCGAAUUGAGACAGGAAUUGUAAUUUUGUGGAUUAUCUUUACAAAAAAAAUGUAAUCUUUUUCUUUUUUGAUGUGUUAGAAAUGGUAGAAAGUCUAUUUUGUUCUCAUCGAUUGGAUUCGGAACCGUGAUAUUGGGGUUUCGUUACUGUUACGAUUUUUCGUUGUAGAUGUGGUUGGAAGUUUCGACGGCUAAACAGUGAUAUUGGGAUUUCAUUACGAUUUUUGUGGCAGAUGUGGUUGAAAGUUCUGAUGACGGAACAAACAGUUUCCUAAUGGAGAAUCAAGAGACAAAGACAGGUUCUUGGUGCCAUCCAUGUCGCGCCAUGUUCCAGUAUUUCUCAACAACGGAUUAUGUUGAUGGCGAAUGAUGGACAGUAAUUGAAAGCAACCGAUUAUGCGCCAUGUUCCAGUAUUUCUCAACAACGGAUUAUGUUGAUGGCGAAUGAUGGACAGUAAUUGAAAGCAACCGAUUAUGUUGAUGACGAAUGAUGGACGGGAGUUAAAAGCAAUGCAGUCACGAAAAUGUUAAAAGAUUUAAUGGUUUUGACCAAAAAUAACUUGAUUCAUCUGUGUGUUUCAUUUUCAUUUUUCUGAGAAUGAAAAAGAUUUGGGGA